CGAAUGAGCCCGAAAUCAUAAUUUUCGGUGCUGGAGAUCAGGUUUUGAGGAGAAUGGCACUUGUGAACCAGAGUAUUUGGUGGAAAUAUGUUUUAAUAGAAGAUGCG